rnacentral:snoRNA from 1 species
GACCUCCUGGUGCUUACCACAGGCUGUGUUCUUACACUGACUGAAUAAAUAAAGAAAGGAAAAGUAAACCUACCCUAUAUGUACUUCAAUCCAGGACCUGGGCCUGGCCUAUAUUGUGAAUGGGAAGACAUGG